rnacentral:lncRNA from 1 species
GUAUUCUGGCGCCGCUGACUCCCAGGGCUGGGCUAUCCUCUGAGUCGGCCCUGCCAGUUUCCAGAGAAGGCGCUUGAGAAGGAGAAACGAAUCGCUGCUGCUCUUCUAAAAGCCGGUUCCCUCUCUGGUGUCUGUGGACCCUGCUUCUGAAGUACAUGAACCUUGAGGAAAAUUGACCAGUUCUAGCAGUUCUAAAAUCAUGGCUCGUGAUUUGGUGAUGUUCAGAGAUGUGGCUGUAGACUUUUCUCAGGAAGAAUGGGAAUGCCUGAACUCAUAUCAGAGGAAUUUGUACAGAGAUGUGAUAUUAGAGAACUAUAGCAACUUGGUGUCACUGGGAUGUUCUAUUUCUAAGCCAGAUGUGAUCACCCUAUUGGAACAAGGGAAAGAGCCCUGGAUGGUUGUGAGGGAUGAGAAAAGAAGAUGGACUCUAGAUUUGGAAUCCAGAUAUGACACUAAAAAGUUAUUUCAAGGAAAGGAUAUUUAUGAAAUGAACUUAUCUCAGUGGAAGGUAAUGGAAAGAAUUAAAAGCUGUGGACUUGAAGAACAAGAAAGUCCUCAUGAGGUGUGUUUCA